rnacentral:lncRNA from 1 species
AGCUGGGACAUCCUUCCUCUCCUGUCCUUGGACAACAGAUCCCCAGGUUCUCUGGCCUUUGGACUUUGGGACUUGCACUAGCAGCACCCUGAGUUAUUAGGCCUUUAGCCUUGGAAUGAGAGUUAUAUUAUCAGCUUCCCUGGUUCUGAGGCCUUCAAACUUAUACUGAGCCAUGCUACUGGCAUCCCAGCAUUUCCAGCUUGCAGAAGGCCUGCCAUGGGACUCCUCAGCCUCCAUAAUUGUCCUGUCAGCCGCUGGAUCCCACAAAACUCUGCAGAGAUUUUGCCACCUGGACUAAGGUAACUAAGCUCACAUGACUCCCCCCUCAGCCCUGUCCCCAGCCUAGGUACUCACCAUUUAUUAUAGAGAUUAACUUGAUUUAUGCUUGAUUUUACUUGCCAUGUUUUCUCCCAAAUAUUUUGUCCCUGAUUAGGCCUUUCUGUUUCUUGCAUGGGCCAGACUUGAAAUUUAAAAAGCCAGAAAGGAGUCUCUUUCUGCCUCCUCCCCUGCUGUCACUCCAAGGCAAUCAACAUAGAACAGCUUAGCAAAAUGUAUGUGAGGAGGAACAAAGGAGAUAAGAAAUGCCAAACUAUGAGUGAGUGUUUCUAAACAUUAUCCUACAUUAUCUUCUCUACCUUGUACUUUCAAUACAUCAUCUCAUUUGAUCUUCACACUCCAAGGUAACAAUGCAAAGUCCUAAUGUCUUCUUUUACAAAAGAAAAAGCAGGCAGGAGAGCCUGCAUGACUUUCCUAAGACUCCAUGAUAAUGGGCAGGAGUAGGGCACACCUGG